AACACAAUUCCUCCAGAUGCUUUGGCCGACUUAUUUGCCAGGGAAGGAUUCCUCAAUGAUGACCCUUUCUUGACCGCUCUGUUACAAGCCUAUGAGAAAAGUGGCUUAUUUAUGGACAGCUUUAACCAGAAAAACAUGACAAGCAUCCUUCCAAAUGGCACCAAGGCGGCGCUCUUGGCUGGUGUGUGGCCCACAGUGGUUUCCAGUGGCAGCAAUGGAACUGAGGUGGACCAAUGGCUUGGUGGCCGCUUGGCUGACUAUUUCAUGUUCCUCAAUGGAGCCAUACUGAAUGCAAGCGAAACCCUGAAUGCUAGCUGUGUGACAUUCCAUAAAAUCGUGAACAAGCUGAAUGAAGACGUUGCUGUGUUUCAAGGCAGGGAGGAG